AUUCAGAAGAGGAGGUGCAGUCAGUGAACAAAUCCAAGAAGCCACCUGAGAAAAAAGCAGCUACUUCAAAACUUGGUAAAGUUCUAAAGCAGGAUCCUGUUGUUUAUAUUUCAGAGACAGAUGAAGAAGAUGACUUUGUCAAUAAAAGAAUUACCCUGAAACCAAAGGAGAAUGGGACAUCAGCCAUCGGUUGUCCAGGAACAGCCACAGUGAAAAAGGAAGAUGUAAAAUCACGAGCUAAAAGCAAACCAUUAUCUCCAGUGAAACAGACUCCCACCUCGGCACUGGAUUACUUUGGGACAAGUAGCGUCCAGCGAUCGGAGAAGAAACUGGUAGCAAGUAAAAGGAAAGAACCUUCACAGAGCAGAGAGAGCACGCUAGAUGAUGAGGCCAUUGCUAGGCAACUGCAGCUUGAAGAGGAUUCAGAGCUGGAGAGACAGCUGCAUGAAGAUGAAGAAUUUGCUAAAACUUUGGCCAUGUUGGAUGAAACACCGCAGAACAAAAAGG